GGAGAGGUACUCAAGCGGCCAACGAGGUCGCGCUGUAAACGCGAUGUCUUCGGACUACGAAGGUUCGAAUCCUUCCCUCUCCA
rnacentral:tRNA from 7 species